rnacentral:misc_RNA from 1 species
UCCCCGCUUUACGGGGCAGUCUCGCCAGAUGUCAAACCCAGGUAAGGUUCUUCGCGUAGCAUCGAAUUGAACCACAUGCUCCACCGCUUGUGCGGGCCCCCGUCAAUUCCUUUGAGUUUUAAUCUUGCGACCGUACUUCCCAGGCGGGACACUUAAUGCGUUAGCGGCGGCACCGAGGGAGUGGAUACCCCCGACACCUAGUGCCCAUCGUUUACGGCGUGGACUAC